AGAGUUUGAUCCUGGCUCAGGAUGAACGCUAGCGACAGGCUUAACACAUGCAAGUCGAGGGGCAGCGGGGGUAGCAAUACCCGCCGGCGACCGGCGCACGGGUGAGUAACGCGUAUGCAACUUACCUAUCAGAGGGGGAUAACCCGGCGAAAGUCGGACUAAUACCGCAUGAAGCAGGGGCCCCGCAUGGGGAUAUUUGCUAAAGAUUCAUCGCUGAUAGAUAGGCAUGCGUUCCAUUAGGCAGUUGGCGGGGUAACGGCCCACCAAACCGACGAUGGAUAGGGGUUCUGAGAGGAAGGUCCCCCACAUUGGUACUGAGACACGGACCAAACUCCUACGGGAGGCAGCAGUGAGGAAUAUUGGUCAAUGGCCGAGAGGCUGAACCAGCCAAGUCGCGUGAGGGAUGAAGGUUCUAUGGAUCGUAAACCUCUUUUAUAAGGGAAUAAAGUGCGGGACGUGUCCCGUUUUGUAUGUACCUUAUGAAUAAGGAUCGGCUAACUCCGUGCCAGCAGCCGCGGUAAUACGGAGGAUCCGAGCGUUAUCCGGAUUUAUUGGGUUUAAAGGGAGCGUAGGCGGAUUGUUAAGUCAGUUGUGAAAGUUUGCGGCUCAACCGUAAAAUUGCAGUUGAUACUGGCGACCUUGAGUGCAACAGAGGUAGGCGGAAUUCGUGGUGUAGCGGUGAAAUGCUUAGAUAUCACGAAGAACUCCGAUUGCGAAGGCAGCUCACUGGAGUGUAACUGACGCUGAUGCUCGAAAGUGUGGGUAUCAAACAGGAUUAGAUACCCUGGUAGUCCACACAGUAAACGAUGAAUACUCGCUGUUUGCGAUAUACAGUAAGCGGCCAAGCGAAAGCGUUAAGUAUUCCACCUGGGGAGUACGCCGGCAACGGUGAAACUCAAAGGAAUUGACGGGGGCCCGCACAAGCGGAGGAACAUGUGGUUUAAUUCGAUGAUACGCGAGGAACCUUACCCGGGUUUGAACGCAUUCGGACCGAGGUGGAAACACCUUUUCUAGCAAUAGCCGUUUGCGAGGUGCUGCAUGGUUGUCGUCAGCUCGUGCCGUGAGGUGUCGGCUUAAGUGCCAUAACGAGCGCAACCCUUGUUGUCAGUUACUAACAGGUGAUGCUGAGGACUCUGACAAGACUGCCAUCGUAAGAUGUGAGGAAGGUGGGGAUGACGUCAAAUCAGCACGGCCCUUACGUCCGGGGCUACACACGUGUUACAAUGGGGGGUACAGAAGGCCGCUACCUGGUGACAGGAUGCCAAUCCCAAAAACCUCUCUCAGUUCGGAUCGAAGUCUGCAACCCGACUUCGUGAAGCUGGAUUCGCUAGUAAUCGCGCAUCAGCCAUGGCGCGGUGAAUACGUUCCCGGGCCUUGUACACACCGCCCGUCAAGCCAUGAAAGCCGGGGGUACCUGAAGUACGUAACCGCGAGGAGCGUCCUAGGGUAAAACUGGUGAUUGGGGCUAAGUCGUAACAAGGUAGCCGUACCGGAAGGUGCGGCUG
rnacentral:rRNA from 1 species